rnacentral:rRNA from 1 species
AUUGAACGCUGGCGGCAGGCUUAACACAUGCAAGUCGAGCGGGGUGAUGGUGCUUGCACUAUCACUUAGCGGCGGACGGGUGAGUAAUGCUUAGGAAUCUGCCUAUUAGUGGGGGACAACAUCUCGAAAGGGAUGCUAAUACCGCAUACGUCCUACGGGAGAAAGCAGGGGAUCACUUGUGACCUUGCGCUAAUAGAUGAGCCUAAGUCGGAUUAGCUAGUUGGUGGGGUAAAGGCCUACCAAGGCGACGAUCUGUAGCGGGUCUGAGAGGAUGAUCCGCCACACUGGGACUGAGACACGGCGCAGACUCCUACGGGAGGCAGCAGUGGGGAAUAUUGGACAAUGGGGGGAACCCUGAUCCAGCCAUGCCGCGUGUGUGAAGAAGGCCUUAUGGUUGUAAAGCACUUUAAGCGAGGAGGAGGCUCUUUUGGUUAAUACCCAAGAUGAGUGGACGUUACUCGUAGAAUAAGCACCGGCUAACUCUGUGCCAGCCGCCGCAGUAA